GAUGAACGCUGGCGGCGUGCCUAAUACUUGCAAGUCGAGCGAACAGACGAGGAGCUUGCUCCUCUGACGUUAGCGGCGGACGGGUGAGUAACACGUGGAUAACCUACCUAUAAGACUGGGAUAACUUCGGGAAACCGGAGCUAAUACCGGAUAAUAUAUUGAACCGCAUGGUUCAAUAGUGAAAGACGGUUUUGCUGUCACUUAUAGAUGGAUCCGCGCCGCAUUAGCUAGUUGGUAAGGUAACGGCUUACCAAGGCAACGAUGCGUAGCCGACCGGAGAGGGGGAUCGGCCACACUGGAACUGAGACACGGUCCAGACUCCUACGGGAGGCAGCAGUAGGGAAUCUUCCGCAAUGGGCGAAAGCUUGACGGAGCAACGCCGCGUGAGUGAUGAAGGUCGUCGGAUCGUAAAACUCUGUUAUUAGGGAAGAACAAAUGUGUAAGUAACUAUGCACGUCUUGACGGUACCUAAUCAGAAAGCCACGGCUAACUACGUG
rnacentral:rRNA from 1 species